GGACUACUGGGGUAUCUAAUCCUGUUCGCUCCCCACGCUUUCGCUCCUCAGUGUCAGAAUCGGCCCAGAGUGCCGCCUUCGCUACGGGUGUUCCUCCUGAUAUCUGCGCAUUUCACCGCUCCACCAGGAAUUCCACACUCCCCUACCGACCUCUAGUCAUGGCAGUAUCGAAUGACCCCUCCAGGUUGAGCCUGGAGAUUUCACAUCCGACUUACCAAACCACCUACGAGCUCUUUACGCCCAAUAAAUCCGGACAACGCUUGCCCCCUACGUAUUACCGCGGCUGCUGGCAC
rnacentral:rRNA from 1 species